CAGCAGCCACGGUAAUACGUAGGGUGCAAGCGUUAAUCGGAAUUACUGGGCGUAAAGCGUGCGCAGGCGGUUAUAUAAGUCAGAUGUGAAAUCCCCGGGCUCAACCUGGGAACUGCAUUUGAGACUGUAUGGCUAGAGUGUGUCAGAGGGGGGUAGAAUUCCACGUGUAGCAGUGAAAUGCGUAGAUAUGUGGAGGAAUACCGAUGGCGAAGGCAGCCCCCUGGGAUAACACUGACGCUCAUGCACGAAAGCGUGGGGGGCAAACAGGAUUAGAUACCCCUGUAGUCCCUGUCUCUUAUAC
rnacentral:rRNA from 1 species